ensembl:lncRNA
AUGGAGCAGCUCAYCCUGGAGGCCAUCUCUAAGCAUGUGAAGGAAAAGAAGGUGAUCAGGAGUAGUAAGCAUGGCUUCACCAAGGGGAAAUCAUGCUUAACCAAUCUGAUAGCCUUCUAUGAUGGAAUGACUGSCUGGGGAGAUGAGGGGAGAGCAGUGGAUGUUGUCUACCUWGACUUCAGCAAGGCUUUUGACACUGUCUCCCAUGACAUCCUCAUAGGCAAGCUCAGGAUGUGUGGAAUGGAUGAGCAGACAAUGAGGUGGAYUGRGAACWRGCUGAAUGGCAGAGUUCAGAGGGUUGCGAUCAGUGGUGUAAAGUCUAGUUGGAGACCUGUAGCUAGUGCUGUCUCCCAGGGGUCAAUACUGAGUCCAGUAUUGUUCAACUUCUUCAUCAGUGAGCUGGAUGAAGGGACAGAGUGCACCCUCAGCCAGUUUUCUGAUGAUACAAAACUGGGAGGAGUGGCUGAUACACCGGAGGGCUGUGCUGCCAUUCAGAGGGACCUGGACAGGCCGGAGAGGUGGGCAGAGAGGAACCUCCUGAAGUUCAGCAAAGGCAAGUGCAGGUUCCUGCACCUGGGGAGGAAUAACCCCAUGCAGCAGUACAGGUUGGGGGUUGACCUGCUGGAAAGCAGCUCUGCGGAGAAGGACCUGGGAGUGCUGGUGGACACCAAGUUAAGCAUGAGCCAGCAAUGUGCCCUUGUGGCCAAGAAGGCCAAUGGUAUCUUGGGGUGCAUGAGGAAGAGUGUUGCCAGCAGGUGGAGGGAGGUGAUCCUCCCCCUCGACUCAGCCCUGGUGAGGCCGCAUCUGGAGUACCGUGCCCAGUUCUGGGCUCCCCAGUACAAGAGGGAUGUGGCGCUACUGGAGCAAGUCCAGCGAAGGGCUACAAAGAUGAUUAGGGGACUGGAGCAUCUCUCUUAUGAGGAAAGGCUGAGAGAGCUGGCCCUCUUUAGCCUGGAGAAGAGAAGGCUGAGAGGGGAUCUUAUCAGUGUAUACAAAUAUCUGAAGGGAGGGUGUCAAGAGGAUGGGACCAGACUCUUUUCAGUGGUGCCCAGCAACAGGACGCGAGGCAAUGGGCACAAACUGAAACACAGACACUUCCAUCUGAACAUGAGGAAAAACUUCUUCACUGUGAGGGUGACAGAGCACUGGCACAGGUUGCCCAGAGAGGUUGUGGAGUCUCCUUCUCUGGAGAUAUUCAGAACCCGCCUGGAUGCGAUCCUGUGCAACGUGCUCUAG